UGGUUCAGUGGUAGAAUUCUUGCCUUCCGUGCGAGAGACCCAGGUUUGAUUCCUGG
rnacentral:tRNA from 1 species